ensembl:lncRNA
GUUUUAGGGACCGUCAACAAGUUACACAUACCGACUGGUGGCAGAGACGUUACCAUGGAAUUGUUUCUGGAAAUAAAUCAUAUAAAAUAAUAUAAAAAUCAAUAAAAAAAUACAUUUUGUCACCUGAUUGUAGUAGUAGUUGCCAAUGGUGGUCUGCUACUUACUGCAGGUAACUUUGCUAAUAUAUUGCAUUAUUGUUAAACGGAAUGCAAUUAAUAAUUACAAAUAUAGUUUAGUCGAUUUUUUUUCGAAUAUUAAACUAUUAACUGCAUUAUGAUUAACUAUAUUGCAAUAUAUUUGUGUGAUUAAUUUCCUGAAACAAUUCCAUGGUAACGUCUCUGCCACCUAUCGGUGAGUGUAAUUUGUUGACGGUCCCUAAAACAGGUAGCAGCCAGAACGUAAAUGACGUUGUUGCACAGACAUUGAUGGCGCCAACAUGUGUUUGUGAUUUUUCGCGAUACGGUGUCCUAAACCGUCCUCAACAUACUAAGCCCUAUGGAAGGGGAGAUUUGGAGGUACCUGGUCAGGUCUUGGUCAGCCUUCAAAUCCCAGAUGUGGAGACUGCAGGGAUACCUCACAGAGAAGACACUAAAGAGUCAUCUCUCAUUCAUCGAGUGGACUCAUUGGUUUGCGAAUGACCACAAAGAUGCUCCCAUAGGCAGAUUGCUGCAUGGCAUUCACCACUUAUUCAAAUUGUAGAGGUUGAAACGACGCUGAAGUUGGCAUCCGAUUCGCAGCAUCCGAUUCAGCAGCUGGUCCACUUUAAAUCGGUCCUGAUUGAAAACCACUACACCUAGACUCUUCAAAUCUGGACUAAAUUAUCACAGUGAGGCUAUACAUUAUAAUAAACAUAGUUACAGAUUUGUGAAACCUUUUUUCUAUUUGUGAAAAUGCAAUACAGGCUCAUUUUAAUGCUUUUUAGGGGUCCAGACUGCAUUAGAACGGGUCCUGAUUGAAAACCACUACACCUAGACUCUUCAAAUCUAGACUAAAUUAUCACAGUGAGGCUAUACAUUAUGUAAAACAUAGUUUCAGAUUUCUGAAACCUUUACCCUAUUUGUGAAAAUGCAAUAAAGGCACAUUUUAAUGCUUUUUAGGGGUCCAGACCGCAUUAGAACUGAUCCUGAUUAAAAACCACUACACCUAGACUCUUCAAAUCUGGACUCAAUUAUCACAGUGAGGCUAUACAUUAUGUAAAACAUAGUUUCAGAUUUGUGAAACCUUUAACCUAUUUGUGAAAAUGCAAUGCGGUCUGGACCCGUAAAAAACAUUCAAAUAAGCCUGUAUUGCAUUUUCACAAAUAGGGUAAAGGUUUCACAAAUCUGAAACUAUGUUUUACAUAAUGUUUAGCCUCACUGUGAUAAUGUAGUCCAGAUUUGAAGAGUCUAGGUGUAGUGGUUUUCAAUCAGGACCGAUUUGAAGAUUCUAAGUGGUUUUCAAGCCGAAUCGGAUGCUGCGAAUCGGAUGCCAACUUCAGCGUCGUGAGGUUGAAGCAGUCUUCCUUGUGGUCACUUGCCAUAACACUGUCAUGUGUUUUAUGAAAACACCAUCAGUAACAUUUAAAUUGAGUUGAUGCAGACGGCUCUUUUUUUUGUCUGAUUUCUUCAGUGUUCAGUGCUUGUUUGUGAGAUAUGCAUUGUUUGAAAGAUAAGCCUUUGAUUUUGUUUAAUUUUAAUAUGCCUUUCAUCAACAGUGGAUUGGGGUUUUAUAACAACAAUUAAAGUGAUUAACUACUGGUGAACGAUGUUGCAGAACAUAUAUGGUUUGUGUUGAUUGCAUGGAGAAGGGAAUAACCAGUUACAACUUGUAUGGUAAGAGCCUGGUAAUACCAUGGAAACAAACGAGGCUUCCUUUUACAGUACAGUUUCAGCUAACUUACUGGGUAAUUUGUCGUGUUUUACUUGGUAACGUCGCAGAACGUACAUGGUACAAGUUUGUGUUGACUGCAUGGAAAAGGGAAUAUUGUAUUACAAAUUAUAUGGUAAGAACCUGGUAAUACCAUGGAAACAAACAAGGCUUCCUUUUACAGUACAGUUUCAGCUUAAUUACUGGGUAAAUUGUCGUGUUUUACUUGGUAACGUCGCAGAACGUACAUGGUACAAAUUUGUGUUGACUGCAUGGAAAAGGGAAUAAUAUAUUACAAAUUAUGUGGUAAGAACCUGGUAAUACCAUGGAAACAAACAAGGCUUCCUUUUACAGUACAGUUUCAGCUUAAUUACUGGGUAAAUUGUCGUGUUUUACUUGGUAACGUCGCAGAACGUACAUGGUACAAGUUUGUGUUG